rnacentral:rRNA from 1 species
UACGAAGGGGGCUAGCGUUGCUCGGAAUCACUGGGCGUAAAGGGUGCGUAGGCGGGUCUUUAAGUUAGGGGUGAAAUCCUGGAGCUCAACUCCAGAACUGCCUUUGAUACUGAAGAUCUUGAGUUCGGGAGAGGUGAGUGGAACUGCGAGUGUAGAGGUGAAAUUCGUAGAUAUUCGCAAGAACACCAGUGGCGAAGGCGGCUCACUGGCCCGAUACUGACGCUGAGACGCGAAAGCGUGGGGAGCAAACAGG